GCAAACUUGGUCAUUUAGAGGAAGUAAAAGUCGUAACAAGGUUUCCGUAGGUGAACCUGCGGAAGGAUCAUUACAUGGCGUGUGAUCUGCAUGCGGAUAUGCCUAAGCUCAAAGCUUUGGGUGCUCUGCUGUAGGCUCCUCGCUCUCUAUCCUUGCCUGUUUGUACCUUUUGUUGUUUCCUCGGUGGAUGCUGGUCCGCCGAUGGAAUCUCAUAAACCUUUUUGCAGUAGUAUCCUGAUCUGAAUCAACGUUUUAAAUCGUUACAACUUUCAACAAUGGAUCUCUUGGUUCUGGCAUCGAUGAAGAACGCAGC
rnacentral:misc_RNA from 1 species